CCUGCCCCAGAGGCUUUGCAGGAAUGGGUGCUGUGUCAUAUAUGUGUCAGUAGAUGGCAUAGAGGAGAGAGGCUAAGUCUAUGCUCAGUGUUCUGACCUAUAAACACCUGAAUGAUUAGUAGCCUAUGGUU